UCGCUAGUAAUCGCGGAUCAGCAUGCCGCGGUGAAUACGUUCCCGGGCCUUGUACACACCGCCCGUCACACCACGAGAGUUGGUAACACCCGAAGUCGGUGAGGUAACCUUUUGGAGCCAGCCGCCGAAGGUGGGACCAAUGAUUGGGGUGAAGUCGUAACAAGGUAGCCGUAUCGGAAGGUGCGGCUGGAUCACCUCCUUUCUA
rnacentral:rRNA from 2 species